ensembl:lncRNA
GGGGAGGACAAGGAAGGGGCGUGGCCGCUGUGGCCGCUUCAGGUGACGCGGUAGAAGUGGCAUUUGUCCCGCACUGUCUGGGUGUGUAAGGAGACACUCGCCCCCCAAGGCAGCCCCUCUAAGUGUGCACUAUAGAUGGGGAGAAACCUCAGACUCCUGGGCGAAGCUGGGCAAGCACGGGGUCCCCGUGGGCUGCCUCUCCCUGAGGCUUUGGGCUGCCCUCCACUCAAACCUCCAACGGGGCCUGACUUGGUGGCACAACUGGACUCCACAAAGGGGGUGGGGGUGUCAUCCCUGAUGUGCUGUGUGCAAAGCUCCCACCAUGACCCUCAGCUGGCUGACUUGGCAAACCACAUUUCUACAACAAGAUUAGCGCCCAAGAGACAGCCAGUGCCUGCCCUGCGGUUCCACCCCCUGGGCCGUGUCUGCCUUUCCACCACCACCCUCCUGCUGUGCCCGACUGCAGACCUCACUUCUCCGAACAUUGCAGUGAGCAGGUGUCAACACUGUUCUUUUUCUUGGUGAAAUGGAAGGUCACAGCUGCACUCAGGCUUCUGACGUGGCAGCCUGGCAGUGACUGCCCUCCCUAGAGACCUGGGUUCUGGCCCCAUGGAGAUGACUGCAGGCUUCAGCCAGACAAUCAGGAUGAGCAGCGCGCCAGGAACCCGUCAGACGCUAAGUGGGAACACAUCUGUGGAUGAACACGGAAGCCGCUGCGGGCUUUCUCCUGUGAUGCCACAGCGGGUUUGGAUUUUGGGCCCCAAAUCUGUCGCAGAAGAAGAAGAAGAAAGAAAACUGGGGUAGCAGGAGUGUUUGAGGAGAAAAUCACUGAGAGUUCUCCAGAAUGAAUGAAAGAUGCUUGUUCACAGACUCAAGAGAUCCAGUAAAUUCCAAGCAGAAGGACUGAAAAUGCAACACAGUGAGUGGCCCCGUGGCUCAGAAGGUGGGGUCCAGGCCCACCCACCUGGGGCCGGCGCCGCGUGUCCAGUGGCUGUGCAGGGAUGCGGCCCACAGCUCAGAGGCUGACCCACGGAGGGUUGUUGCCUUUAGAGGGCGGCAGAGCUAUGGCCUGCAUGUGGGAGAGCUGGGGGGCAGGGACCACGUCUUGUGGGGUUCUUGAGCUUAAAGGUUGUGGAGAGGAGCUGCAGGCGGAGGCGACCGAGGAGAGAUGGCGCUGUGGGACCCCGAGCCACUCCAGCUGUGGCAGCAGCAGCAGCAGCAUCCCAUUCUGCCCCGCGGCAGGUAAGGAGGGCUGAAGCUGGCUGUUCAGUUCAGUGACCACAGGUCACCUUUGCGAGCGCCGCUUCUUAGAGACAUAAUAACUCUGAAUGACCCACUUUCUUUCGGAGAUUUAUUACAGCUUGUUGUUAUUUUAUUAUUACUGUCUGCAAUUUUCUCUUCUACUGCUCCUGGGAGCAGUAAGUUUAAAGUGCAGUCCUUCAGAAAAGGCUUGAAUUGGGCAUACAUCAUCAUCUCCGUAGAUGGCCUGCUCACAGUGAGCGUCGUCUCAAGGUUUAGAAGGGGACGCUGUGGCUGUUUCCACCCUGGCUGCCCCUUUUCGCACAGGUUGUUCCCUUGGGGGCUGCGGGGGUGGGUGUGUGCGUGUGUGUAUGUGCUCGUGUGCGGGUUGUGUGACCUUGGAGGUAACUUCAUUGCUCUAAGCCUGGGCGUCUUCAUCUGUUGGGGGCAGGGUGACGAGCUCUGCCUUGCUGGGCUCUGGUAGCUUAGCAUAUGGCUGGAUGGGAAGUGUCUGCAUUUUUCUGGGUGUUGGGCUGGAGUCUGGGAGACAGGCCAUGGCGUGUGUGCGUGACUGUCCUGGUGGCCUGGGAUGGUGGAAGGAUGACAAGGGUGGAGUCCUUUGCAUGUGCUGGAUCUGGAGAAACAGGAAGCAACGCUGUCAGAAGUAGGUGAGGUGUCACAGCCUGGCUCCUCUCUGCUGCCCUUGUGCCCUGAGUGUCACCUGCACUGAGACUUGGAAACUUGCCAGAAGCCACAGUCCAGGUCAGGACUGGCACUUGGUUCUUUCCCACCCUGGCUUCACGCGGUCUCCGAAGCACGAAGCAGAACCCUGAGAGCAGCACCUCGGUCAGCAGAGUGGUGACCAGAGCCCCCCGGCUGGUGCCUCAGUGGAUCUGACUGGUGACAGCUGUACACAACGUUAAAGAAGGGCUGACUGUUUCACCCUCCUCACCCCAAAAGCAUCUGGAGGAGAACCAGCUGUGCAUUCUCCCGUGACUCCAGGCUUGGCAGUACGCCCGGGCACCUGCCCUUGCCCCCAGGAACCCUGCCCUUAAAGAUGAGUGUUCGGCUGACCAGACGGCGACAAGUGCCCCUCCCUGGAGGUGUCCCCCCAGCUCUGUCUCCCAGGCCGCCUCUGCUUUUUUGGGGGUUUCCUCACCCAACCCACACAGCCUCAGGAUUCAGCACAUGUUUCGGGGUAGCCCACCCUGCACUUGGCACCCCCACUCUGCCGUGCUGCAUUCCAGCACAGCAGGGCCCCAAAAGCACAGAGAAUGGCUGAGUCUCUGAAUAAGAUACAAACCGAAUACAUGGAACAGACAUUCUCAUCAACCACUGAUUACAUGUAAAGCUUCCCAGUGACUUUCGAGUCUUUGGGCCCUUUAGAUGGAAUGGGGAUGCAAGCUCUGGGUCCCUGGAAUGCCUUGGUGAUCCCACGUGGACGGCAGUCUGAUCGCAUAUUUGAUUUCCGUUCUCCCCUGAAAAUCCCCGGUCACCAGCACUUUCCUUGUGGGUGUGCAGAUGGUGAUGACACUGGUGAUAGGAUGGUGAUACCUUGCCUCGUGUCACAUCUCUGGAAAUGAGUGAAGACUAUCCAGAUGAGGAAAGCAAAGUCACCAGGAAAGCUCUAACCUUCUGGGCAAAGACCUCUCCUGGACCCUCCUUCUUAUUCCGCUCCUGGCCUGGCCAUCUUUUGCUUCUGGGAGGGCAGCACUGCUGGUGCUCAUUGACUGGCUUGUGAACAGCGCCUUCACUGGACACCCCAGAUCAACAUGCAGGUCCGAUGCCUGGGGGCCCACAUGGAAACGAGACUUGACAGUUCACACCGUGGAACUGUGUGCAUGGAGAGGAAGAAAAGGUGCCCAGGAUUCAGUGGGUUGACAUUUGCUGCUCGCGUAUUCUGAGAAUCUCCCCUGAGAAUAAAUCUAUUGCUUAUUAAAAAAAUAAAUUAUAAAGACUUCCUGGUAAAGAUGGUGUCAUGGACCCAGAUCUUAGAAUCUCCCUUCCCCAAUUCCUGAUGAGACUAAUAAAUAGUAGAAAAAAUUAGCAAAACAUUUUCCACUCUCAAAGACAGAGUUAUAAAUUCACACCACAGCAUUUGAGAACGGCAGCCAAGGAAAGCGGUAGAAGAUUCUCGUGCAGCAUCUAACUCCUUCACAGCUCCCCGGAGACUAUACUGGAAAACAAGAGUCAACAAAGUCCUAAUAGUUCUCACUUGAAUUCCCUAAUGUUGGGAGAGGUGGACAGACGGUGGGUGUACAGCCUGGAGAGAAGUUUCAAGAAAUCCUCAAAUUGGAGGCUCUUGCCAACCACGGUGCAAUCUCAAGGUCUAAGCAGAGGCAAGAAAAUUACCAAGUUUGACAUUUUCUAGGACUCCACGCUGAGUUAAGGAAAUGCCCAAACCAGUAUCCUGCCAAGCGGGCUGACACUCCCCUGAGUAACUGUGUGACAUUUAGCGCAAUCUCAGAAAAGACAGCAGAACCCGGGAAAUCCAAUACAGCCUCACAGAGCAAGAAGAAAGGGAAAUUUUAGAGACCUAAUAUCAAGUGAGUGCAAAAAUCAGCCCCUUUAUAGAACUAGAAAAUGAACUAGAAACAGAAUAUACACAGCUAAAAUUUAAUCAACUCUUCUGGAGGAAAGUCUUGAAAUAAUCGUUGUGAACACAUAGGAGCUGUACAGAGAUAUGAAAGCAAUUAGAAAAAACAUAAAAGAUUUGAUGGGUUGACUUAGAUGAUCCAAUAUGAAUAAAAUUUAUUAAUGUUAAUUAGAAAACCAAUCAAUGAACAGAGUUUUCAAAAAUGUAAUAAAAAAAUUCCUGAAGUUAAAGGAACCUGAAGUUAAAGAUUGAAGAUGCAUAACUAUGAAGUAGUCUAGAAAAAAUUCAUUAUUAAAUGGACACAUUAUUAAGCGGGCAUGUUUUGACUGAAUUAUUGAACUUUAAGUGAAAAGAAAAAUUAUUUAGGUUUUGAGGAAGAAAAUGAAAUUCAUAUACAAGGAGAAAAAAACCAGGCUGACUACAUACUUCUUAGCAAUAUUCAAUGUGAAACGACAAUUGAGCAAUUAUCUGGCGCGAUUAAAUUGUUACCCUAAAAUGUAAAGCCAGUAAAAUUGUUAUUAAGUCUAAAGGCAAUAGGAGGCAUUCUUUAAAAUCUCAAGAAAUAUAGAGCCAGUGAAUAUUUUAUUGAAAAAAAUAGUCCAGUGAAGCAAGUCAGUUGAUCCAAAGAUGAGUGAAGAGGCUAUGCUCAGGGUCGGAGGUCACUGGUCAGUGGAGCGAUGUCCAGAAAGUUCUGAGGGAAGGCGAGUGUGACCCAGGAAUUUUACACCCAGCCAACCUUUCUUUCAAAUACUAAAGCCGUAGACAGACAUUCUCAAGUGAGCAAACUGCAGAGAAGAAACCACCCAAGAAUCUUUCCUGAAAAAAUGUGACAGUGAAAUCCAGCCAAGCAGAAGAUGAAUAAAAACAGAGUGUAGAAAUGGACAAAAGAACUGGAGGAGUAUACUGAAUCCACGGAAAUAUAGUUCUAUAUGCAGGGAUUUCGAUGAUUGAGUUGAGGGUGAAUGCUAUAAAGCAGGAGAAAACAUAAAAUUAUCAAAAAUUUACAAAGAAGUGGGAGGUGGAGAUCACAGGUGGCGUAAGUGCAAUAUUCUCAUGGCUCCGAACUCCUAAUGUUUUGUGUGUUGUAAAAAAUGUUUUCGGAAUCCAAAUGAUCUUUUCUGGUGAAUAAACACUACUCGAGGUUCAGCAUUUAAUUGUUUCAUCCCAGUUUCUUUUUUAAUUUAUUUCAAGUAAAUUAAAUUUUAAAAAUUAAAUUAAAGUAAGUAUGUGUAGGAUGAAAAAAACUCAAUUUCUUUAUCUAUAAUCUGUCUAUAUCUAUCUUUAUCUAUCCAUCCAUCUAUUCAUCUACCAAUCUAUCUAUAUCUAUUAUGUAUCUACCUAUGUAUCCAUCCAUCAUCUACGUAUCAUCUAUCUACCUUCUAGCUGAGUGCAUGCAGUAUUUCCGUUUUGUAACACUGUAUCUGUCUAGCCUUCCUCUGUGCCUAUGUGUGCAUGCAGUGACAGAGAUUGAAAUCAUGGUAACUAUCAUUGUGUAUUAGUCUGAUGGGUCUGCCAUAUCAACCUACCGCAAACUGCGUGAAUUUAACAAUAGAAUUUUUUUUCUCACAGUUUGGAGGCUGGAAAGUCCAAGGUCAAGGUUCUGGCUGA